AGUGAACGCUGGCGGUAGGCCUAACACAUGCAAGUCGAACGGCAGCACAGUACGAGCUUGCUCUUACGGGUGGCGAGUGGCGGACGGGUGAGGAAUACAUCGGAAUCUACUUUUUCGUGCGUUAACGUAGGGAAACUUACGCUAAUACCGCAUACGACCUACGGGUGAAAGCAGGGGAUCUUCGGACCUUGCGCGUUUGCCUGAGCCGAUGUCGGAUUUGCUAGUUGGCGGGGUAAAGGCCCACCAAGGCGACGAUCCGUAGCUGGUCUGAGAGGAUGAUCAGCCACACUGGAACUGAGACACGGUCCAGACUCCUACGGGAGGCAACAGUGGGGAAUAUUGGACAAUGGGCGCAAGCCUGAUCCAGCCAUACCGCGUGGGUGAAGAAGGCCUUCGGGUUGUAAAGCCCUUUUGUUGGGAAAGAAAAGCAGCAGGUUAAUACCCCGCUGUUCUGACGGUACCCAAAGAAUAAGCACCGGCUAACUUCGUG
rnacentral:rRNA from 1 species